rnacentral:rRNA from 1 species
CGGUAAUUCCAGCUCCAAUAGCGUAUAUUAAAGUUGUUGCUGUUAAAAAGCUCGUAGUUGAACUUCUGACAGCGAGCAGGUUUGGCUUUGGCAGCCUGUUCGUUGUCAUCCGUCUGCAAACCUUGUACGUCCUUCAGUGGUUCGGCAAGGGGAGUAGACAAUUUACUUUGAAAAAAUUAGAGUGUUCAAAGCAGGUAUUAGCCUGAAUACUUUAGCAUGGAAUAAUGGAAUACGACUCUUGUCUAUUUAUGUUGGUUAUUAGACUUGAGUAAUGAUUAAUAGGGACAGUUGAAGGCAUUAGUACUUAAUUGUCAGAGGUGAAAUUCAUGGAUUUAUUAAAGACUAACUAAUGCGAAAGCAUUUGCCAAGGAUGUUUUCAUUAAUCAAGAACGAAAGUUCGAGGAUAGACAGCGAUCAGACACCACUUUAUUUCGAACUAUAAACUAUACCGAUUUGAGAUAG